rnacentral:tRNA from 1 species
AGGACUAUUAAAAAGAUAUCUUACCUGCUUUGGGAGCAGGGGGUCGUGGGUUCGAAUCCCGCUACCCCGA